rnacentral:tRNA from 1 species
GCCUCCGUGGCCUCAUGGAUAAGGCACCGGCCUCCUAAGCUGGGGAUUGCGGGUUCGACUCCCGCCGGAGAUU